rnacentral:rRNA from 1 species
UCUUGGUCAUUUAGAGGAAGUAAAAGUCGUAACAAGGUCUCCGUUGGUGAACCAGCGGAGGGAUCAUUAAAGAGUUUUAGAACUCCCAACCAUUGUGAACGAACCGCUGUGCCCAGGCUUGGGUACCCCCUAAGCCGGCGGCAUGCAAACUCUUACUUUAGUGGAUAUCUGAGUAGCUUAUACAAUAAGUCAAAACUUUCAACAACGGAUCUCUUGGUUCUGGCAUCGAUGAAGAACGCAGCGAAAUGCGAUACGUAAUGUGAAUUGCAGAAUUCAGUGAAUCAUCGAAUCUUUGAACGCACAUUGCGCCCGCUAGUAUUCUGGCGGGCAUGCCUGUUCGAGCGUCAUUACAACCAUCAAGCCCUAGGCUUGCGUUGGGGACCUGCGGCCACCGCAGCCCCCUAAAAGCAGUGGCGGUCUCGCUGUCAUACCGAGCGCAGUAGCAACCCUCGCUCCGGGCGUGGCAGCGGGCUUCCGGCCGUGAAACCCUUACUAAGGUUGACCUCGGAUCAGGUAGGAAUACCCGCUGAACUUAAGCAUAUCAAUAAGCGGAGGAA